UACGUAGGGUGCAAGCGUUGUCCGGAAUUAUUGGGCGUAAAGAGCUCGUAGGCGGUUUGUCGCGUCUGCUGUGAAAACUGGAGGCUCAACCUCCAGCCUGCAGUGGGUACGGGCAGACUAGAGUGCGGUAGGGGAGAUUGGAAUUCCUGGUGUAGCGGUGGAAUGCGCAGAUAUCAGGAGGAACCCCGAUGGCGAAGGCAGAUCUCUGGGCGGUAACUGACGCUGAGGAGCGAAAGCGGGGGAGCAAACAGG
rnacentral:rRNA from 1 species